ensembl:snoRNA snoRNA:Pi4KIIalpha-a
UCUUGCGCAUAAGGUGGGAGUUGGGUCGUCCAGUUCUGGGCCUAACUUCGUCGAUCUUUUACUUUUCCGCGCAUAGAUAAAUAAGAUCGGGUAAUCGGGGAAGUACUGCAAAUAUAAGGCUUUUGCAAAACUUUUGGUUUUUUCCUGAAACAGUUUCAAAA